AGCUCUCACCUAAUGAUCUCCCUGCUCACUGCUGACCAGGACGCAGGUCAUUCCCCAUAAUAAUUAGCUCACAGGCAGAGUUUCCAGACGCUUCCAGGAGCAUCAAUCACCGGGAUGAAUGGGAAGCCCCUGUGUGGGAACUGCAGGGGGAGCUGGGUGGAGAGCCACCUCAGCGCUGUCACCCCGCGGCUGUCCCUGCCAUGCUUCCUUGGACCCCUAUCUACCCCCAGUUUUGGGUGACAGGACGAGUUAGGCCAGUUACCAGAGUACAAGACAUUUACUUUGUGGACUGCCAUUCAAUUUGACAACAGAUUUAUUUUUAAUGUGCACUUUCUGGAAACACGAUAUUGUUCCUCAAAGAAAUGAAUAAAAUGUUGCAAAUACAUAAGACAUCAUAACAGAUACCAGCCUGAGUCAAAGCUGGUAAAGAGGCCAAGAAUUCCCAAGCUUUCCCAGGCAAGUGGGGAAGAACACUGGGAUGCCUUUUCCUCCUCCUCUGUCCAUCUGCAGGCCAAGUGUACAUCAGUCACAGGCAAACUCUGAAUUGAGCUUUGUGCAAGUCUCUGGAAAGAGACCCAAAAUCGUGUGAUGAGCAAAAGUGACAGUGCUGGUGGCAGUGACAUCUGCAGAGCCAGCCCCAUCCCUAUCUGCAGCAGAAUACGUACGGGAAUCCUUUAUGUGAACAAUCCACCCAGGGUAGAAUGGGGCUUUUGACAUCAGCUGAGACCCAGGCGGCCUUACAAUGAGAGGCCUGUUGGUCAAAGGAAGGACUGUUUAAUGAACUGAGAAUCUGAGGCCAGCUCUGGCCAUCUGCACUUAGAAUCAUUAGAGCAACUCUACUGUAACUGGCAACAUUGAAUAAUGCAGCAAAUUCAUAUUCCAAAAUUGUGAACUUUAAAAUUCUGUGUUUGUGUCUAUGGUGAAAAGUAUUAUAUAAACAUUUGAUACUACCAUUUUAUUAGGAAGGAAGCCUGAAAAAAUAUCUCUCUUUUGACUCUGAGGUCAAUAAUGAUAAUGGUUUUUCCCCUACACUGGGAUAGAAAUGUUCUGUCAAGGAUAUGAAAGCACUUUAUGAAAAUGAAAUUCAUUAAAGCCCUUAAUAAUCAGUUAGGGAAGGCAGGUGCUCACAAUUGUCACCUCUUGGUGAGUGAACACACUGAGGCUCGGGGAGGACAAUGACUCAGGAACAAGGUCGAAUUGCAGGUAGGGGGUGAAGCUGAUCCCUAACAGCGUCCUCCAGCCCCUGGCACUGAGGAAGGACAUGGAGGGCUUGCAUCGACUUUUCCUGGCAGGCUUGUGAUUCCCAGCCAGAAUGCAGGUGGCAAUGUUGUGAUUCCUGGCGUAACCUUCAAUGCUUCAAUGAUAAUCUCUGCUGGUGCCAGGCACCAGCUGAGUGUCACUGUGCAGCUCCCAGGCUUAAGUGAUGCAUGCCGAGAUUUUCAGAGCAGUCUCUCAUUUAUUAGUUGUGUUGGAAAGAAAUCUGUACUACCUAACUGGGUACCUCUGGAUUUUAACAGCUGUGGUUUAUAAGAGAUUUGAGAGGGAGUUUGUUUUCAAAGUGCCUUUCACAAAGUAACACCUUAGAUUGUAGUUUACAUUCCAUUCCAGUAGGAUAACUUGCAACACUUCUGUGCUCAGAAAUCCAACUGUGCAAGAAAAGUCAGGUUAUAUUUUCAUACAGCCCAUUUUGGCAAAUAUGCCUUCACACCACUUUCCCUCCUCCUCACCACUAUUGGCAGUAGUCCCAAUGGAAGAGUUUUAUGUCAAAUGUUGAGUAUCUUGGAAGCUGUCCUGCACAGACACGACUGCUUGGCUGCGUGUUGGAGAGUCGUGGUUGGACUGGAAGACCAGGAAGGUCCCUUCUAGUCUGAGAUGUUAUGACUCUAGAACUAAUUAGUUUCAUCUCAUAACAUGAAAUGAUACUAGCUACCAUUUGGUGGGCUUUUUCUGUGUUCCAGGCUCUGUGCUAAGAUCUUAACAUUACUCUAAUUACAAAAUCUCUGCCAAUAUUAUCCUCAUUUUACACAAGAACAAAUGGGUUUAGGGAAAUCAAAAACUUGUCCAGUGACACAGAUUUAAGAUUUAACAACUGAUAGCCACGUGGAAAUGGAUUACAGAUUAUUCUAAUUUGACACUCUAAACCUGCAAUUUAACCAGAAUGAAAUUUAGGGCUGCGUGCUGUGGCUCAUGCCUGUAAUCCUAGCACUUUGGGAAGCCAGGCAUGUCCCUUAAGCCCAGGAGUUUGAGAGCAACUUGGGCAACAUGGUGAAACCUGUAUCUACGAAAAAUACAAAAAUUAGCCAGGUGAGGUGGUGUCUGCCUGUAGUUCCAGCUACUCGGGAGGCUGAGAGAUGGGAGGAUUGCUUGAGCCUAGGAGGUCGAGGCUGCUGUGAGCUGUGAUGGUUCCACUGCACUCCAGCCUGGGCAACAAAGACAGACUCCAUCUC
rnacentral:lncRNA from 1 species